rnacentral:rRNA from 1 species
UGUUUGUAGGUAAGCGUGAGUGUUUGAUUACAAAUAUUUUCUGCCCGGUGGAUUCUAAACGGCCGCGGUACUCUGACCGUGCAAAGGUAGCAUAAUCACUUGCCUUUUUAUUGGGGGCUAGAAUGAAUGGGAUUAUUGAGACUCCUACUGUCUCUUUUUUUAUUUUGGAAAUUGCUGUUUUUGUGAAGAAGCAGAGGUUUGGGAGAAAGACAAGAAGACCCUAUUAAACUUAAUUGUUUUGUUUGUGUUUUCUUUUUUUGAAAAGUGAUUAUGGGCUGUAAUAAUUUGGUUGGGGUGAUGGAGAAAGAGUGAAGAUCUUUUUUUUUUAGAAGAACAUAAUGGUUCAACAUGGAUAAUAGGAUGUUUAGAGAGAAUGAAAAGUUACUAUAGGGAUAACAGCGUAAUUCUUUCUAAGAGUUCUUAUUGAAGAAAGAGAUUGCGACCUCGAUGUUGACUUGUUAAUUCCGUUGGGUGUAGAAGCUAUAAGGGUUAGUCUGUUCGACUAUUAAAAUAAU